UCUUAUGAAAGAGUAAAAAAAGUGGUUUCUUGAGAUGGAAUCUAUUCCUGGUUAAGAUAUUAUGAA
rnacentral:pre_miRNA from 2 species